rnacentral:lncRNA from 1 species
CCCAGGCUAGGGGUCUAAUCGGAGCUGUAGCUGCCAGCCCACACCAGAGCCACAGCAACGCGGGAUCCGAGCCGCGUCUGCAACCUACACCACAGCUCACGGCAACGCCAGAUCCUUAACCCACUGAGCAAGGCCAGGGAUAGAACACUCAACCUCAUGGUUCCUAGUCGGAUUCGUUAACCACUUCGCCGCAACGGGAACUCCCAGAAUGAAGCUUUUUUUUAACAGCUUCAGCAUAUGGAAGUUCCCAAGCCAGAGGUCCAAUUGGAGCUGCAGCCUACACUACAACCACUGCAACAGCAGAUUUGAGCUGCAUCUGCAACCUAUGCCAUAGCUUGCAGCAAUGCUGGAUCCUUAACCCACUGAGCAAGGCCAGGGAUUGAACCUAUAUUCUCAGAGAGAGGACGUCAGGUCCUUAACCCACUGAGCCACAACAGAAACACCGAGCCACAAUGGAGCUAUCUAUGUAUGUGUGUAAACAUUAAUAUAUUAAUAUAUUUUUUCUUUUUCUUUUUUCUUUUUUUUUUUUUUUUUUUAGGGUCACGCCUGCAGCAUAGGGAGGUUCCUGGGCUAAGGGGUGAAUCAGAGCUGUAACUGCUGGCCUACACCACAGCCACAGCAACUCGGGAACAGAGCUGCAUCUGCGAUGUACACCAUAGCUCAUGGCAACACCGGAUCCUUAACCCAUUGAGUGAGGCCAGGGAUGGAACCCGCAUCCUCACGAAUGCUAGUCAUGUUCACUAACCACUGAGCCACAACGGGAACUCCAAUGUACUAAUAUUAAUGUAUCCUUAAAGUACAAGACUUUUAUGAUUAACAUGGUGCUAUGCCAGGUAAUAAAACCAGAAGAAACCUCUGGCUUAGUGGAGAGAAGUAAAUUAUUUUUGCAGCAUGGAUCUUAGUAACUGCUGCAUAAUGAUUUUAGGCGGAUUCUUAGAGCCUGACAGAGGGGAGUCAUGGGACUGGUUGUGCCAAGGGGAAGAAGCUGCAAACCGAGCCAAAGAAGAUUUGAAAAUAAGAGCUGUGUCAACAUGCAUAAAUUCACUUGCUUUGAAGAAGCUGCAAUGGGAUCCAGGAACAGGAACAAAGAAUAUUUAUUGUUUUGCCUUUGCAUGCCAAAAUGUAAUCUCUCUUUUUCUUCUACUUUUUCCUUAAAACAACAAUUGUCUGCAUGUAGAAUGAGUGUGUUUUAAAUGAACCAUUCAGUGCUUUUUUUUCUGCUCUCAUUUCCAGUGCUGAGCAGCAAUAUGAUAGCCUAGAAAUCUCCUGACUUUGGAGUCAGACUGACCCACACUUCAAGCCUGGCUCUGCCACGCACUUGUAUGUGCACUUCAGCAGAUCACUUGGCCUCGUUGUCUAUGUGUUUGUUUAUUUAUUUACUUAUUAUUUAUUUAUGUGUUUACACAGGGAAUAAACCUUGCUGGAUUGGGAGGAUUAAAAAUGACAUAUGUAAAGAACUCCCAGUACUUUAUAAAUACUGUGGCCAAUAGUGGACAUUCAAUAAUGGAGGCUGGAUAUAAGGACAAAGUAGUUUCAAAAAAAGAGCCCUGGCCAGGGAGCUGGGGCACCAGGGUCCUGUUACCAGAAAACUGGGUUCAUCUCUUGGUGGUUCUUGAGCCAAAAAACACAAUGAAGCCAAAGAUCUAUCGGGAGAAAGAAGGAGUUAUUACUUGCAACCACGUAAGGAGGACACUGGGGAUCCUUCCUUGAACAGCAAAAUUGGGGGAGUCUUUUGUUUAUUGUUUUGGCCCCACUCAUGGCAUGUGGAAUUUCCCUGGCUAGGGAUGGAACCUGCACCACAGCAGUGACCCAAGCCACUGCAGUGACAAUGCUGGAUCCUUAACCCACUAGGCCACCAGGGAACUCCAAAAAUGGCUUCUCUCAUGUCAGGAAAGCCACGCCUGGUCCUGUUUUUCUGGGGAACCCCUACCCUAGCUGCUUACAGUCAUGGUCCCUGAGCCUUCAUUUUACUAACAAGCAUCUAGUCUUGGGCUGGUCCCUCAAACUUUCUAGAUUUUUUUUUUCCAUUAGGGAAGGUGUGUUGGCUGGAGAUGUAGUUGAAGGGGCACUAGCAUGCCGUCACUAAUGCAUGGUGGAAAGUUCUUCGCUGGCAAGCUGAUCAUUGUGCUGUGGCAACACAGGUGAGCAAGCACACAAGUAAUUAGUCCUGCCUGGAUCAGGGUGUGUACAUGAGCUGGGCCUUGAAUGUUCACGUGUGGGCUUCUCCACUGUUGAAAGGAGGUGUUUCAGGACAAAGACCCAAAUGUCCAUCGGGUGAAAGCGUGUGGUGAGGCAAAACGGCGGCUCCCAGCCAACUCCACUGCAAUCAACUUCUGGGAUUAUCUCUGACGGCUGAGUUGCAUCACAAACAUUUAAGAUAGGUGGACCCUCUGGGUUUUGGAAAUCUUUUAGCUUUACUCUAGGGAAAUGGUAACUGAAAUAGGAAUUGCCCUGUAAACCCCCAGGUACUUACCAUUUGAACUGGGGCAAAGGAAACUACCAGUUAAACAAGUAGUCUUAACUUGGUAAUAGUAAUAACUGUUCCAUGGGUUGUUUCCAGUGCCAGGCACUGUUGAAGUGCUGUAUUUCUAUUAAUUUAUUUAAUCCUCAGAAUAACUGGGUGAAAGCGGUGCUGUUGUGAUACUUCCUUCACAGAUGAAGAAAUUUUGCCAAAGAUCUCUUGGUAAAGGUCACUCGCAAGCAAAUGGAAGAAUCAAGAUUAGGAUCCAGGGUGCUGACAAAGGCCCUGAUCCUAACCAUUCUGCAAACCGCCUUUCUAGAGACGGAGUAAGGAAGGAAUCGAUCUUAUAGGAAAGUAUAUAUUGAACUAGUGCUAACAGUCACCUCUUUGAGUAUAGCUCCAGUAAAUGCUGCAUUCAGAUGAGAAGCCAGGGCAUUUCUUGGGACCAAAACACGCACAAUUAUUGGCUUUGGUAACAGUUUUGAUUGUGUCACUAUUUGAGCGUAGGCGCUUAGAUAAUGCCCUGCAACAAUUCAGUCUCCCCUUCCCUAGUGCGCCAUUCUUUGCUGCAAGUGAGAAGAAAGGAGGAAGUGGGGUGGGUUGGACAGCAUUUCACUUGGAGAAUUGAGGGCUUUGUCAAGAGUUUCAAGUGGAGGCUGCCUUAAGGAAGGCUGGUCCUGGAGCUCCCUGGUGGCAUAGCAGGUUAAGGAUCCCGAGUUGUCUCUGCUGUGGUGCAGGUUCAGUGCCUGGCCUGGGAACUUCUGCAUGCUGUGGGCA